rnacentral:rRNA from 2 species
CCCAACACAUGCAAGUCGAACGCACUCUUCGGAGUGAGUGGCAGACGGGUGAGUAACACGUGGGAACGUACCCUUCGGUACGGAAUAACUCAGGGAAACUUGAGCUAAUACCGUAUACGUCCGAGAGGAGAAAGAUUUAUCGCCGAUGGAUCGGCCCGCGUCUGAUUAGCUUGUUGGUGAGGUAAUGGCUCACCAAGGCAACGAUCAGUAGCUGGUCUGAGAGGAUGAUCAGCCACAUUGGGACUGAGACACGGCCCAAACUCC